GCGUGAAGGUAUCGACACACUCAACCAUCCACUCUGUCCAUGGCUGUGAUGAUUCAGAGCUAUAUUCAACUCCAUGUUUGCACCUCGAUGGGCUGUUCUGAAGUUGGCCACAAAGAGAAAAAAAAAGAACAACAACGAAUGGGUCAGAAACUGAACAAAGGGUUGGAAAAGGAAGGAGUCUCAACAAAUGCCUACAAUGGAGGAGAGCAGUCGAAGCAGGGGGGAGAAGAGGGCCUUGAGGCACAGUUGGAGCCCAGUGAACAGGGCAGCGGUUGUCGUAGCGCUGGGACUGGGAGCUAUGGGAUAGCAGAGCAACUGAUUGUCAGCAGCAGCCUGGCCACUGAGCAGGGGGACGAUGAGCUCACUGCGACCCCUGCCCUAACAGACACCCUCAUUAAGGAGCCAAUGAGCCCCGCUCUUGGCGAAGAACAGAGCCCUUUGACCGUGGGGGGCGGGAACGAGGGAGGGGACAGAGAAGACAGGGCUGUCACACAUAGUACAGAUAUGCCAGAAUGUAUCCUGAGCUCUGAGAGGAGCACACAGUGCUCAGAGCCCAAAACACAGAAGAAAUCUGCGGAUAAUAAGAAAAGGGUGAAUACUGGGACAGGAGCUACAAUGGAAGGACAAGUGAUGAGUAAAUGCCCUGCUGGUGGUGGGCACAGAGACUCAGAUACAGAGGAUAUGACAGAUAGGUCUAACACAGAGGACUUGAUCUCAGAACCUACCAAGGAGGACUUCGUACUUCUGGAGAAGGAUGAAUCGUGGUUAUCGUGUGAUGUGAGCAGCGCGAUUGCUGAUAGCAGGGACAAAGAGAAGGAAAAGAAACAGCCUUCUGUAAAAAGAAUAGUGGAGGAGGUAACGACUUCUGCCGCUGGUGUGGAUAAACCUCAAGACCUUCCAAUGUUGCCCACUGACCCACAGAGGAACGUUUAUUCUGCUGUGGAUGAUCUGAGGCUCAGUGAGGACAGACUUCUUAGCGGAAAGAAACAGCAGGAAUCACAGACAGCCUCAUCUUUGGGCACCGAAACAAGCAAAACACAAGUAACAUGGGAUGAGGAUACAAGCAGCACUGUAAACACUUAUUGUGUUCUUUCCUGUAAAGGCAGCAGUGGUUGCGAGGCACAAACCUCACGUUCACCAGCAGACUGUUUGGAAAGAGCAGAUCCACAUUUGGCUGAACCGGCAGGCAUCGGGUGUCCCCCAAAGAAGGCUGAACGAACUAAAGCUGUCAAAGCUAUUUCGGAGAAUGAGUCUGGAAUUACUGCAGUUUGUGAUCUCAAAAUGGGCAUUCAAGGCAAAGAACCAGACCUCUUGAGUAUUGAAUCAACUCAUGCCAAUUCCAAGUCAACUGAUAUAAAUAAUACAUUCUAUGAUGAUAAAAACUGCACUCAUGAGGAUUUGGUCCUAUUGAAUAUAGAGGAAGAACUUGAUGAGAAAACAGAAGCAUUAAUUGCACUCAACACAAAAAUGAAGCCGGACAAAUGCUGGGAAAAGACAGAUCCAGUUAAGAGUGGUUCACAAACUGAGAAAGAGCAGAAGGCCACAGCCCCAGAUGAGCAUCCACAGGUGAAAGACACACAGAGAAGGGAAGUAAAAAGAGACUGUGUCAAAGACAACAGGAUUGGGCCAUGUGAGUCAAACCAGUGUGAACCUGAACUACACAUAUCAUCUUCAACAGGUGUCCAAGGAAAUCUAAAACCACCACAUCCUCCUCAGCCUCCACCAAGGCCAAACGCCAAAGGUACAGACAAAAGAGGGAAAUCUAUUCAUUCACAAAUAGGUGUAAAAAAGUUUGAUAAUGUAGAGAGCAAUGAUAGAAGUGUCUCCUUACAACAGCAAACUACAACUUAUACUGGAAAAGCAAAACCAGUAUCCUCUUCCCCUGACACAUGCACCUCCAUCACCAACCAUCAACAUUUAGCUGAUGACUCAUUAGAACAAUGCAAUGUGAUUCCCUCCCCUCCUCUCUCUGUGCCAAAGCUAGAGGGUAGUGAUGGGCAGAGGCAGGUUGUUCCCAUGCAGAGGGAGAGAGAGCCUGUCUGUUACACUCAUGUCACCACCCCACCACCCAUCACUCACCUUCUGCCUGAGAAGGAGAUGGCGAGCACAGUGCCAAAACAACAUAACAACAGUAUGGAUUUCACCCAGCCAGAGGACAGAACAACAGGGGCCUCUAUAGAUCCUUCUGUUCCAGUAGAGAGGCCUAAACCGAAGGGGCCUCCUCCACCUGUCCCAAAAAAGCCCCAAAAUCCCUUUAAGAUUCCAGCUACAAAAACAUACUCUAUGGAUGAACAGAAAAGAGGUGAUGAUUAUCACCACAAAGAGGAAAAGAAGAAGAGGAGACAACCACAUCAAGUCAGCAAAGGAAAUGCUUGCGACACAGCUUCUCGGGGUAUGUGUGUGUUAUGGGAUGACACAGGUUCUUCUUACACUGUACCAUCCAACAUGUACACGUCAGAUAAUUUUGAUUCAAUGGAUGAUUUUUCACAACAACAAAGGGCACCAACUAGAGAGGAAAAGUAUAGAAAUAUCAUAGAUUUUGAUGCUUGGGCAAGAAUGGUGAAACUUGCUGCGGAAGAGGAGAAACCAAAACAACUUGACAUGUUGGACGGACGAACUUUUUUGGAAAAGCAGGCUAAACUCAAAGGCCCACCACCUCCUGUACCCACAAAGCCCCAUAAGCCAUGUGUUCCAUUAGAAACAGUUCCAAACUCAGAGGACAUAGCUUGGCCUUCAGAUGAUGAGGAGAUACGAGAACGAGAGCUGGCCUUGUGUGAGAGAAUGGAAGAUGAAGAUGAUGACCCUAAACCCCAACCUGACACGGUUAGCACAGAUGUCCGUUGGAAGAACCUUGGUGACCACAGAAUCCAUAGUGGUCUUGGUGAGCCUACCGAUCGUGAGUCUGUGGCUGAGCUUGAAACUGAGACAUACAGGCCUGUGGCUGAGCUCAUAAAGGAGACCAACCAGAUGUACCAGAGAAUCAGGCACGCAGACCGGACAGAACCCCUCACGGUCAAGUCCAUGAUCAGGCACGCAGAGCGGACAGAACCCCUCAUGUCCAAGUCCAUGAUCAGGCAUGCAGACCAGACAGAACGCCUCACGGUCAAGUCCAUGAUCAGGCACGCAGAGCGGACAGAACCCCUCAUGUCCAAGUCCAUUGACAGGGCCGUGGACCUGGGCCAGAGCCUGAAAGUAUCACAGAUGAAGAAGGCCUUCGAUGUCACUAAGAAGCCUGCUGAAAAACCACCAGAGACAAAGCCUGAACCCAAAAAAGGUAAUAAAGUGCUUUGGAUCAAAUACUCUCUCUGGCUGUCUCUUUAUCUAUGUCUCCCUCCCUCCCUCCCUCCCUCCCUCCUUUCUUUCUUUCUUUCUUUCUUUCUUUCUUUCUUUCUUUCUUUCUUUCUUUCUUUCUUUCUUUCUUUCUUUCCUCCCUCCAUCCCUCCCUUACUUCCUUCCUCCCUCCCAUCUGUGUGUGUGUGUGUCUCUUUCUCUCACACACACAAAUGCACACACACAGCCAUGUGA
rnacentral:lncRNA from 8 species